GAUGAACGCUGGCGGUAUGCUUAACACAUGCAAGUCGAACGGACUCUUCGGAGUUAGUGGCGGACGGGUGAGUAACGCGUGAGAAUCUGGCUUUGGGUUCGGGACAACCACUGGAAACGGUGGCUAAUACCGGAUGUGCCGAGAGGUAAAAGAGAAAUUGCCUGAAGAUGAGCUCGCGUCUGAUUAGCUAGUUGGUGAGGUAAAGGCUCACCAAGGCAGCGAUCAGUAGCUGGUCUGAGAGGAUGACCAGCCACACUGGGACUGAGACACGGCCCAGACUCCUACGGGAGGCAGCAGGGGGGAAUUGUCCGCAAUGGGCGAAAGCCUGACGGAGCAAUACCGCGUGAGGGAAGAAGGCUCUUGGGUUGUAAACCUCUUUUCUUAGGGAAGAACAAAAUGACGGUACCUAAGGAAUCAGCAUCGGCUAACUCCGUG
rnacentral:rRNA from 1 species